GUGGGGAAUAUUGGACAAUGGGCGAAAGCCUGAUCCAGCCAUGCCGCGUGUGUGAAGAAGGUCUUCGGAUUGUAAAGCACUUUAAGUUGGGAGGAAGGGCAGUAAGUUAAUACCUUGCUGUUUUGACGUUACCGACAGAAUAAGCACCGGCUAACUUCGUGCCAGCAGCCGCGGUAAUACGAAGGGUGCAAGCGUUAAUCGGAAUUACUGGGCGUAAAGCGCGCGUAGGUGGUUUUGUAAGUUGGAGGUGAAAACACCGGGCUCAACCUGAGAACUGCCUCCAAAACUGCAUGACUAGAGUACGGUAGAGGGUAGUGGAAUUUCCUGUGUAGCGGUGAAAUGCGUAGAUAUAGGGAGGAACACCAGUGGCGAAGGCGACUACCUGGACUGAUACUGACACUGAGGUGCGAAAGCGUGGGGAGCAAACAGGAUUAGAAACCCCUGUAGUCC
rnacentral:rRNA from 1 species